GACAGAGGUGCCGAGCGUUAGGCGGAAUCACUGGGCUUAAAGCGUGUGUAGGCGGGUCGUUAAGUACCUUGUGAAAUCCCACGGCUUAACCGUGGAACUGCUCGGUAUACUGGCGAUCUUGAGCCACUUAGGGGUCAGCGGAACAAAUGGUGGAGCGGUGAAAUGCGUAGAUAUUCGCAAGAACACCAGUGGCGAAGGCGGCUCACUGGCCCGGUACUGACGCUGAGGCACGAAAGCGUGGGGAGCAAACAGG
rnacentral:rRNA from 1 species